AGCCCGACUUCUCAAAUCAAUUAAAUCGACGGUUCGUUCCUCUGAUUCGGAGCUCCGACUUGCUGCCCAUACGCUUAUCUUUCGUCCCAUAUUUUAGGUUUUUAGUUUCCCUUUACUUUGCUUGCUUCAUCUGAUUAACGACCAUCAUCAGAGACAACUUCAACAUCGCAGAUCUCAGCGCAGGUAAACCCUAUUCACUAUAUUGUUGCAACCCAGAACUCAUCUGGAAAUUCUUAUUUUAUGACCAUUAAUAACGUCUUGCUAGAUAAUUUAUUUUCCCUAAUUACUUAUACAAUCAAGCUUCCAUUUUUAACUGGUUGUUUUGUUGUAAUUCUAGCCACAAUCAAUUUGUAGCAAUUUAUUACGUGUAUCCUGUUAUAGUUUGAAUUGCAUGGUUUCUCUUACUGGUUGUCUUUUUACUUUAAUUCAUUCAUUAUUAUUACUUUGACAUUUUCAUUGCUAGAGUUAGUUGCACAAAUCAAUCCAUGUGUCCUAUAAACUGCUAAACAAAUUCAACUGUAACUUUUGAGGGUAAAAAGUUUGGCGCCCAUCGAGGCUAAGGAUAAUUGUGGUAGUGUUUUGUUACUUUCAGUUCAUCUCUAAUCAUUCUAAGUUUGUGAAAUCAGGUAAAAAUUUGGAAAAAUAUGACGACGCCAAUAACGAUGAGUUGUUGAACAACAUUCUCAUUCAGGAAGCCGAUCCGUUUACCGGGGAAACUCAAACAAGGAAUACGCAUUAAAUAAUCGCUUUUGUCCUGAAUUGAAUAUGUUUUUGAUUAGUUCCCACAUGGUAUGAUUUCCCUGUAUUGUUUUAUCCAAAAUUUUGACUUCUAUACAAUUAAGAAAGAAUCCUUGGAGCAAUUCUUAGAUAGAAAGCACUAGCUCAUGGUUCAACUUCAUAAAAACCUAUAAACAACAACAACAACAACAAAAAAAAAAAAAAAAAAAAAGACCGAAGAUAAUGAAACACACAUAGUGGUUAUUAUGGCCCAUUAUAUAUCUGAGUUUGGUUAUUGACAAGUUGUUCUGUGUCUUUGACAACAAAUCAGUGCCAAUUGGCAACAGGAUUAAGAAAUUGUAGAUCAUGCUUACACGAAACUAAAUAUGAAAGUGCUGAAGUGUAAGAUGAUUACUGAUUCCCCCGACUUGCCCUAUUAGUAGCAGUUAUUUGUUCUUAUGGUAGGAACUCCUUGCAGUGCCUCACCGUUGUUUUUCGUGUUCCCACUCUUCAGUGUUUUACCGAGGCAUCUCAUGGUGAGCCCCAGAAAAAUUUCUUUUUCUAAUUGGUCAAAUUUAUUCAGGACAUUUAUUGGUCGGUAUGUAAUUUUAACAGGUUGCUGACCUCGAUCGCAAUUGCAGGUGAGCAAAGAGAUGUAGAAAUGCUUUAGCUAUAUGUUCAUCUGAAGUUCUCUAAUAUUUGAAACCGUAGAUCUUUCCAUUUUUUCAUACACAUAUCUGAUUUCAAUUUAUCAUUUUCAGAUUAACUGAGUGCAUUAUGCUGGGUGAUAACUAAUUCAGUGUAAAUUAUCUAUUGUCUGUGGUCUUUUGUUAUUGAAAAAAUGACUACCGUUAAUUACUGUUUCAGGUUAAUGAGAGGAAAAAAAUAACUGAACUCCAAGACGAUACAAAUUGUACCCUUGGCAUACUUCAAAAUUCAUUUUAAAGACUUAACAACAAACAGUAUAGUUAAUCAGGCUUUAAGUAAUCUAUAGAUUCCCAGCUUCUUGGCGAGUUGAUGUUGAAGUUCAUCUAUCGGAUCUUGAUAGUAACCUCUAAACAACAUAAGUUUUAAACUAAGACUGAUUCCUUUUCCCCUUGCAUUUAAUCCUCAUAUUGGUCCACUUCGUUCUCCUAUCAGCAGUUCAGAUUCCAGUCAGUAUUGUUAAUCUAUUGGCUUGCAUUUUCUCUUAGCUUCUUCGUAACGAGAGGGGUAGACAUCCCAAGUUGAUCCUCAUGUGUUGGAUGUUAAUUACUUUAUUCUUUUGAGGUCUUGUUAGUCACAUUUGGAGGCACUUUCAAUAUAAGUAGAAUUCAUCAGUUCACUCCUUAAUUGAAGCCAGAUUUCUACAGCUUGGACAAAAGGAGAUUCAUCUUUAAAUUGUGUUUAUUCUCUUUAUUGGAAGAAGAGCAUGUUGUCCGAUAAGGAAACAGAUGAGCUGUGAGAUGAGGGACUUUACCUGCAGCUGAACCAUUUGCAAAACUAUGUAAACAGAGUUUUCUGGUGUUGUUUUGUGCAUUUGAUCACUUCAGAACAAGAUUGGAGGAGGAUUUGGGCAAGUUUACAAGCUUCAAUGUGGAGAAACCAGAACUUGCUGUUACACUGUGUGUUAGUAGAGCACGUAAAGAGCUGCCAACGUUGGAAAUGACUAUCACCGCAACUUACUCUCUAGCAUUUGCUAGAAAGUCCUUCAACUGCUGGGCAGAAUUAUGAAAGCAUUCACAAUAAGCUAAAUCUUGCUUAUGAAGAACGAUAAAUACAAUAUAAGAGUAUAAUAUAGUUCUGGAAACGAUUGACAUUAGUUUUAUUUUAUUACAAACAAAGGUGUUAAGUACAUUUUCUUCUGCUAAAUUUUAUGCUCUUUAGGCUGAAGUCUAUAUGUGGAAAUGAAAUAUGUUAUAAGCCAAAGUGUUGGGCCCGUG